rnacentral:rRNA from 1 species
AGCGAACGCUGGCGGCAUGCCUUACACAUGCAAGUCGAACGGUAGCGGGCCUUCGGGUGCCGACGAGUGGCGAACGGGUGAGUAAUGUAUCGGAACGUACCUUUCAGUGGGGGAUAACGUAGCGAAAGUUGCGCUAAUACCGCAUAUUCUGUGAGCAGGAAAGCAGGGGAUCGCAAGACCUUGCGCUGAUUGAGCGGCCGAUAUCAGAUUAGCUAGUUGGUGAGGUAAAGGCUCACCAAGGCGACGAUCUGUAGCGGGUCUGAGAGGAUGAUCCGCCACACUGGAACUGAGACACGGUCCAGACUCCUACGGGAGGCAGCAGUGGGGAAUUUUGGACAAUGGGGGCAACCCUGAUCCAGCCAUGCCGCGUGAGUGAAGAAGGCCUUCGGGUUGUAAAGCUCUUUCGGCCGGGAAGAAAUCGUAUCAGCUAAUACCUGGUGCGGAUGACGGUACCGGCAUAAGAAGCACCGGCUAACUACGUGCCAGCAGCCGCAGUAAAAC